UCUGUAAGUAAGUGUUGGCACAAAAUUUUGUAAAAUAAAACAAUAUACAAAAUUUAGAAAAUGGCGAAAUUCAUCAAUGACAUAAUGUGAGAAAUUGAAAUUAUACGCAAUGAAGAGAAAGAGAGUUACAAAUAUAGUAAAUAUGAAGAUACUUUAAGCUGCGUUGGUCAUCUCACAGCAAUUUGUGUUAUUGAAAGUUGCAACUGGAUUGGAAUGCAAAAGUAUAGUAGAGCAAGAAGGAAUAAGCACGUGCCGACACCGUCUCCACAAUAGGCAUAAAGACUUAUGAAAAACUGGAGGUUUCUUGUUGAUACAAUACCCAUUAGAGGACAAAGCUGACGCCAGAAUCUAUGUUUUCAAACUCAAGACUACUGCCACGAUAUUAUUAAUUAAAAGACCGUUUGUACAAAAA